GUGCUGCAUGGAUAGAAACUGAAACCUGAGCUCGUACUUCUUGCCCAUUGAAAAUUCAGAGAGAGAGAGAGAUGUGAGCAAAUUUCAAUUUUCUUUAGAAUGAUUAUUUUUUAAAUGGUAGUUUUUGUGCCAAAAAAAAAAUGGUAGUUUAACUAACUCCUCAACCAUUAAUAUUGCAAGCCAACAUGCAUCCUGUGUAGAUACCCCUCAACAUGACCCACCAGCUUCACAUUACAAUCAGCUCUUCGUAAAGCAUGUUGAAACAUGAUUACCAUCCGUGGAUAAUUAGUUGGCAGUACCUUCACGUUGAUCUGUUGGGAAGGCCCUCGAGAUCCCUCAAAUGCCCUACUCUCAAGCAUCCUUAGCAAGCGCUGCCCAUCAGUGUUGGCCAAGAUUUUAAUACCAUUGUCGCUUGUUGUAACUGCAAGCAACGAACCUUCCCUAUUGAAUCUUAGACGUGGACUUGCCUGCAUCAGAAGCAAGUAGACUUUUAAACUCAGUUUUCAACAUGGCACAAAUUGAAAGGAAGUUCUAUUGGAGAAAGUUCUACUAACAGGCAAACCACCAUCUGCAUCUGUAGUUGUUAGUAUACUGGUAUUAUCCAUGUCCCAGAAUUUUAUCAUAAAUUCAUCUCCAGCAGCCAGGAAUCGGUUCCUAGUUGUGUCAAACUGGACAACACCUAACGAACGUUUUCUGAAGCCAGAGUAUGUCCUUUUAAUAGCUCCUUCAGUCUCAUUCCACUCAACUAAAUGGGAAUCACCAUCUUUACUAGUUCCACAGGAAAAUAGCCUGCAAAGAAGUGUUGAUGAAAAUGUCAAUUAUCCAUAAUAAUUUAGUAGGGCAUAAUCCCAAUUCAACCAAAUUAAAAUCCAAGCACUGACAAAUGGGAUGAAGGAACACUAAUAGAUUCCACAACUAACACUCUGAACUAUGACUUGUGCAUUAGCUGAACCUCAAGUAGAAUGGUAAUGCCAUUCUAUUACUAUCAAGGAUAACAUGGUAAUCAGCAUCAACAUAUUAACGAUCAAGUUAUUCAUGGAACAGACACGUUUUCACCUUGUUCCAUCUGCACUGUAUGCCAUUGUCGUGCACCAGUGCCCAGGUGCAUCAUAGUCGACUCUAGAUCCCAAACAAUCAUACAGCCAUGCUUUGAUUUUCCCAUCAAUAGCAGUGGAGAAGAUAAACUGCACACAGAGAUAGAAUUAGAAAGAUCCCAAUAAAUGGUCAUAAUUGAAGAUAAAACAUUCCUGAUAACUUUUAAGAACUAAUCCUGAGAUGCUAUAAUCAAGGAUAAAAUAAUAAUUGAUAAACCAAUUAUAACAUGAAACAACGCAUAAAAUCAUACAAAAUUGUGAGAAAUUGAAAAAUAACAGAGAAAAAAAAAAUUUACUCCCCAGGAAGGAAGAAAAAGAACCUGGAUAGACUCCUUAUAAUGAGGGCAGACAGAAUACACAGGAGCUUCAUGCCCUUCAAACAUGUAUUGCUUCAUUCCUGUUGUAGCAUCCCAGACCUGCCAUUCGUGUAACAAGCAUUAUGAGGGUAAAACUUUGCACAAUCUUUUCAAAAAUUGAUUAGCCCCCUGCCUGAUUCUGACCUUAAUCAUCUUGUCAUCACCGCAUGUAAUUAUUGACAAACUCUUGUUGGGAUGAGAGAAGGCAAUGUCAUUAACACCGCCUAUAUGAGCGUCGAUCUACACAAAUAUGCAACAAGUGAGAAGAUAAUACAUGGCUGCUUGGCCGAAAAGUACAAUCUUCAACUCACCUCCAGUUGUUGUCUCAGCUCUCCAUUUGGAGUAAAAGCAUAUAUCUGAACAAGAUGCUUUGAAAAUGCAACACCUACAAGGAAUAACAAAGUAAACAAUUAGAAUCUAAUAAUAACGAAGAAAAUCAAAGCAUGAAACACCUCCCAAUCUUGAAGGCUUAAGAAGCAUAUAUAAAACAACAUCAUCCAACAGAAAAAUAAUUUCCUUGACUGUACCAAGAAUAGAUCCAUCAGGACUCCAUAAGCACCGAUUGACAGAUAUUGUAGCAUCUUUCAUUAAUGCUGCCUGGAAAUGGAAUGAGGUUCAGUGUAAGAUAGGCAGCAUGACUACUCAUGAAGCACAAUUGAACACGUCACUUGAUAAAAGGAACCAUUAUUCGUGCUAAGUUUGAAAGAAUACCUGUAAGGGCAAAGAACAAGCUGAGAUAUCCCAAACCUUGAAUGUCUUGUGUGCUAUCCUUUCUCGAGAUCCAACUUCCCAUAUCCCAAUAUCACCAACAUUGGUUCCGACUAUAACAAAAAUCCAACAUCAUAUAAAUAAGUCAAAUUGGAAAAAAAAAAUAGUUGCCCGUAAUUCAUAUCAUCUUUUCAUAGAUAUAAUGGUACAGAUAGCUACCUAGAAGAAUUGUUUGUUGCACUGGAUGGAAAUCCAAGCUCAUGACAUUUGAACCCUGAUUAAGGGCCCGUACCAUUGUCUUGGGAAGAUCGUCUCGAGAAUAAAUAUUAGAUGGAUGAGAAACACCAGAAAAUGACACCUAAAAACAUUUUGUUAUCAUGGUGUAACAAACUGAAGAAGUUAAGCUUCAAAGGAAGCCGAAGCUAUAUCCAAGAACGUGUGUGAAAUUUCUAAGAAAUGCUUAUAUUUUAUCUUGUUACCUCAUCUGACUGGCCAGUACGCAUUCUCUUCAUCAAGUGUUCAGAAUCUGCUGUUUGAUAAUCCAUACCAGAAGCACUUGUUGGAGUCCUUGGUUGCUUCAAAAAUGCAGCUGCAAAAGCAUAUCACAUGCUCAAACAAGCCAUAACCAAUAAAGUCAAUGAAUGCGGACAUUUAAAAGAGGCUCACCUGUGCCCGGAGGCUGCACCAGCCCUGGGGGUCCUUGCGCCACAGCAGCAUGUGGUAAAGAUGGGUUAGCAUUUGUCAUCCACCCUGCAAUGGCACUUGCAGAUGGAGAAACAACUGGUUGGAAUGGCUGCACCAGGGAGUAUGACAUUGCUCAAUGACAUGAAAUGACCAAAAAGGUUCACAUAAUUGGUUAAUCUAAUCUACUUACACUGUGAGCACCAAUUGGAGGAAAUGUCCCAGACUUAGGAAUAGGCCCUACAAGGGGACCAUUGGCAGGAGCAGGAGCUCGGGCUCCAUUGGUGGGAGCAGCACAGGAGUGAUCAGUAAAAAGUGUUUUGAUAUCAGGGUUGGGGCGUGGAUUCUUGCAAAGCUGAUGCUGCCAGUUCAAACUGAAAACAAUAGUAUAAAUAAGUCAGAUAUCUUAAGGUACGAGAUAAAAAUGUAACGGGCACAGUAAAGCACUACAUGAAGUGAAACACAGAUACUAUAAAUAAAUAAUCUUCUUUUUUUUUUUUUCUUGAGACUAGGUGAGGUCAAACUCCACCCCACACCAUGAGAGCCGAAACAAGUGCUAACACAAAUCAUGGGCCAAAGUUGGUGCCAAUGCAACUCGGAAUUCUACCCCAUCCUCUUACUCAAGGGGCAAGAUGUAAUACCAUGCAAACAAGCACUAUGUGGUUACCAUAAAUAAACAAUCAUCCCACAUUCCUGUCAGGAUCCCAGAUUUAGAUGCCGAUACCUCUUGCAGUAAGAAGUUCAAUCAACGCAAACAGGUUAAUGCACGUAAGAUUUUAAGGAAAGAACUUACAGCCAUAUGAAUCUUCCAGUUUGACUUACGAAAGUAUUCAUUCAAUUCUCUAAUUACAAUAAAUGUGGUAGUGGAUAGCUAUUUAAUCUACUUAUCCACCAGGUAAUACUAGAAAAAUUUCCGUAAAUAUAUGGAAAGGAAUAAUAGAGUGCUAAAUAAAACAAAUGCAUACCUCUGGUUGAUCAGUGUACGCAGCCUAGAAGCUUUAAAAGGUGGGAAGGUAAGCUUAUCACGAAAUAAAGGAUUAGCUUCAAUGAGCUUCUUAAGCUCCAUGAGCAUUAUAUUUCGGGCAGACUUUGUAUCCCCAUACUUAGAAAGCUGCUCGUUCUGCCUGCAUACACGAAAACAUAGAGUCAAUACACAUUAUGAAAGCAUAAAAGACAAAGACAGAAAGGUCAAAACAACCUAGAAUGAUACCUGAAAUUCUCUAAGGUGAGCAAUUGGGUGAUCUCCUUGAAAAGUUCUUCGUUGAAAGAGGCAAAUACCUUGAGGUCCUUCACAAGUAUCUCAACUGCUUUUGCCCUGUCAUGCCUGAAAGGAAACAGAACAACAGAUUCAAAGAACCUGGACAUUUAGAAUUCAGAUGAUAAGCCACAAACAAACCAAAGUCGAACCUAUCAAGUGCUUCAAGGUACUUCUGCUUCCUAAUCUCGAAGAAGAUUUUCAUGGAGUAGCGAUUGUCCUCAACCUUUGUGAAUCCGCCAAGAUACCGUUCAACUUCAUCCCAUUCCCCUGCCUGGACUUGAUCCUCAAAAUAUUUCAUAUUAAAGUAAAAGCCCGAUUCUUGCUCCAACCUAGAAUUGAACAAGACCAGUUGUGUAAGCGAGCCGAACAGUAGACGUAAGAACUUGAAAUGAAACAACCAAAGAAAAAGAAGACAACUUACUUGUGAACAGUUUCUUUGAACUUCUCCUCGUCCAAGAACUGUAGUAUCAGGAAAACUAAUUCCCUACUCAACGAUGACAUGGUUCCCGGAAUCCCUAAACGCUCCAGCGCAAGAUCUGCAAUCUAUAUCCAAAGAGGAAAAGGACAAAGAUGAAACACCCGCAAUCCUCCAAACGACAGAAACCCUUCCCCUAUCAGUUCCAAAAAAAACUCCCUUGUUACUUUCUCAAUCUCACGAAGAGUUUACCGAGACUUCUCACUCCCAACACCUUGUUAUAAAAAUCUAGCCCAAUUUCCCAGUUCUCAGAAACAAGAGAAGAGGUCAAACUCUCGGUAAUCUAUUAAGUAAAACCCUUCAAGUUAAAUCUAAAAAUCAGAUUUUUCUCCUUGAAUCUUCCCCAGGAUGUCACAACUGAGCUGAAACCGGACAAACCCUAACUCAAAAAUAAAUACCCUCAACAACCCUUGACCACACUCUCCACCUAGCUUUAAACACAUAAAUCCAAGAACAAACAGUAAUAACAAACCCCGCCCC
rnacentral:lncRNA from 1 species